rnacentral:rRNA from 1 species
CCUACGGGAGGCUGCAGUGGGGAAUAUUGCACAAUGGGCGAAAGCCUGAUGCAGCAACGCCGCGUGAAGGAAGAAGGGUUUCGGCUCGUAAACUUCUUUCAACAGGGACGAAAGAAAUGACGGUACCUGCAUAAGAAGCCCCGGCUAACUACGUGCCAGCAGCCGCGGUAAUCCGUAGGGGGCAAGCGUUAUCCGGAAUUACGGGGUGUAAGGGGUGAGUAGGUGGGAUGGUAAGCCAGAUGUGAAAGCCUUGGGCUUAACCCGAGGAGUGCAUUUGGAACUAGCAAGCUAGAGUACAGGAGAGGAAAGCGGAAUUCCUGGUGUAGCGGUGAAAUGCGUAGAUAUUAGGAAGAACACCAGUGGCGAAGGCGGCUUUCUGGACUGAAACUGACGCUGAGGCACGAAAGCGUGGGGAGCGAACAGGAUUAGAUACCCCGGUAGUC